GUGGGGAAUUUUGGACAAUGGGCGCAAGCCUGAUCCAGCAAUGCCGCGUGCAGGAAGAAGGCCUUCGGGUUGUAAACUGCUUUUGUACGGAACGAAACGGUCCUGGCUAAUACCCGGGGCUAAUGACGGUACCGUAAGAAUAAGCACCGGCUAACUACGUGCCAGCAGCCGCGGUAAUACGUAGGGUGCGAGCGUUAAUCGGAAUUACUGGGCGUAAAGCGUGCGCAGGCGGUGCUGUAAGACAGGCGUGAAAUCCCCGGGCUCAACCUGGGAAUUGCGCUUGUGACUGCAGUGCUGGAGUGCGGCAGAGGGGGAUGGAAUUCCGCGUGUAGCAGUGAAAUGCGUAGAUAUGCGGAGGAACACCGAUGGCGAAGGCAGUCCCCUGGGCCUGUACUGACGCUCAUGCACGAAAGCGUGGGGAGCAAACAGGAUUAGAUACCCCGGUAGUCC
rnacentral:rRNA from 1 species